rnacentral:telomerase_RNA from 1 species
GGCACGCACCUGGCAGGCCCCAAUGUCCUAGCUGGUUACGUCAAGGUGUUUCAGGGUGACUCCUAUCACCUCGUAACCCUAAACUAGAGUCGCAAAGGCCAGUCAUUGGCAGCACACGGUAGAGGGGUCUUGGAAGCUGGUUUCCCCCUUGCAGGGAUUAGGUGGAGCAAAGAAGCCAGUAAGCUGGCUAGGGUAGUGGGUCAUAUAGGUACACAGCUCUGCUGAGGGCGGGCAAUUCACUCACAGUCUGGUGGGCAGUCUGGGUUGUGACAAUGGUUUGGCCAUGAGGGUUGCUCAGAACCGGGCGGAGUCCCUGCUUGGGUGCUGCAUAUUGC